CAGUAGCCGCGGGAAUACGUAGGGUGCGAGCGUUAAUCGGAAUUACUGGGCGUAAGGCGUGCGCAGGCGGUUGUGUAAGACAGGUGUGAAAUCCCCGGGCUUAACCUGGGAACUGCGCUUGUGACUGCACAGCUAGAGUAUGGCAGAGGGGGGUGGAAUUCCACGUGUAGCAGUGAAAUGCGUAGAGAUGUGGAGGAACACCGAUGGCGAAGGCAGCCCCCUGGGCCAAUACUGACGCUCAUGCACGAAAGCGUGGGGAGCAAACAGGAUUAGAUACCCCCGUAGUCCCUGUCUCUUAUAC
rnacentral:rRNA from 1 species